rnacentral:rRNA from 1 species
GACGAACGCUGGCGGUGUGCUUAACACAUGCAAGUCGAACGGUAAGGCCCUUUCGGGGGUACACGAGUGGCGAACGGGUGAGUAACACGUGAGUAACCUGCCCUCAUCUCUGGGAUAACAGUCGGAAACGGUUGCUAAUACUGGAUAUGAGCUUGCAAGGCAUCUUGUGGGUUGGAAAGAUUUUUUUUGGUUGGGGAUGGACUCGCGGCCUAUCAGCUUGUUGGUGAGGUAGUGGCUCACCAAGGCUUCGACGGGUAGCCGGCCUGAGAGGGCGACCGGCCACAUUGGGACUGAGAUACGGCCCAAACUCCUACGGGAGGCAGCAGUGGGGAAUAUUGCACAAUGGACGGAAGUCUGAUGCAGCAACGCCGCGUGCGGGAUGACGGCCUUCGGGUUGUAAACCGCUUUCAAUUGUGACGAAGCUUUUUUGUGACGGUAGCAGCAGAAGAGGCACCGGCUAACUACGUG